rnacentral:tRNA from 2 species
GCCGAGGUAUCCUAGCCUGGUAGGGAGCAAGCCUGGAGAGCUUGUGACUCGUAAGGGUCUCGGGGGUUCAAAUCCCCCCCUCGGCGCCA